UACGUAGGGUGCGAGCGUUGUCCGGAAUUAUUGGGCGUAAAGAGCUCGUAGGCGGUCUGUCGCGUCGGUCGUGAAAACUUGGGGCUUAACCCCGAGCUUGCGGUCGAUACGGGCAUGACUGGAGUUCGGCAGGGGAGACUGGAAUUCCUGGUGUAGCGGUGAAAUGCGCAGAUAUCAGGAGGAACACCGGUGGCGAAGGCGGUUCUCUGGGCAUUACCUGACGCUGAGGAGCGAAAGUGUGGGGAGCGAACAGG
rnacentral:rRNA from 1 species